UCUAACCACUAGGCUACCCUGCCACCCCUCCACUCUAACCACUAGUCUACCCUGCCGCCCCUCCACUCUAACCACUAGGCUACCCUGCCGCCCCUCCACUCUAACCACUAGUCUACCCUGCCGCCCCUCCACUCUAACCACUAGUCUACCCUGCCGCCCCUCCACUCUAACCACUAGGCUACCCUGCCGCCCCUCCACUCUAACCACUAGUCUACCCUGCCGCCCCUCCACUCUAACCACUAGUCUACCCUGCCGCCCCUCCACUCUAACCACUAGGCUACCCUGCCGCCCCUCCACUCUAACCACUAGUCUACCCUGCCGCCCCUCCACUCUAACCACUAGCCUACCCUGCCACCCCUCCACUCUAACCACUAGGCUACCCUGCCGCCCCUCCACUCUAACCACUAGGCUACCCUGCCGCCCCUCCACUCUAACCACUAGUCUACCCUGCCGCCCCUCCACUCUAACCACUAGGCUACCCUGCCGCCCCUCCACUCUAACCACUAGUCUACCCUGCCGCCCCUCCACUCUAACCACUAGCCUACCCUGCCGCCCCUCCACUCUAACCACUAGUCUACCCUGCCGCCCCUCCACUCUAACCACUAGUCUACCCUGCCGCCCCUCCACUCUAACCACUAGUCUACCCUGCCGCCCCUCCACUCUAACCACUAGGCUACCCUGCCGCCCCUCCACUCUAACCACUAGUCUACCCUGCCGC